CAUGCAGUCGAACGCUUCUUUUUCCACCGGAGCUUGCUCCACCGGAAAAAGAGGAGUGGCGAACGGGUGAGUAACACGUGGGUAACCUGCCCAUCAGAAGGGGAUAACACUUGGAAACAGGUGCUAAUACCGUAUAACAAUCGAAACCGCAUGGUUUUGAUUUGAAAGGCGCUUUCGGGUGUCGCUGAUGGAUGGACCCGCGGUGCAUUAGCUAGUUGGUGAGGUAACGGCUCACCAAGGCCACGAUGCAUAGCCGACCUGAGAGGGUGAUCGGCCACAUUGGGACUGAGACACGGCCCAAACUCCUACGGGAGGCAGCAGUAGGGAAUCUUCGGCAAUGGACGAAAGUCUGACCGAGCAACGCCGCGUGAGUGAAGAAGGUUUUCGGAUCGUAAAACUCUGUUGUUAGAGAAGAACAAGGAUGAGAGUAACUGUUCAUCCCUUGACGGUAUCUAACCAGAAAGCCACGGCUAACUACGUGCCAGCAGCCGCGGUAAUACGUAGGUGGCAAGCGUUGUCCGGAUUUAUUGGGCGUAAAGCGAGCGCAGGCGGUUUCUUAAGUCUGAUGUGAAAGCCCCCGGCUCAACCGGGGAGGGUCAUUGGAAACUGGGAGACUUGAGUGCAGAAGAGGAGAGUGGAAUUCCAUGUGUAGCGGUGAAAUGCGUAGAUAUAUGGAGGAACACCAGUGGCGAAGGCGGCUCUCUGGUCUGUAACUGACGCUGAGGCUCGAAAGCGUGGGGAGCAAACAGGAUUAGAUACCCUGGUAGUCCACGCCGUAAACGAUGAGUGCUAAGUGUUGGAGGGUUUCCGCCCUUCAGUGCUGCAGCUAACGCAUUAAGCACUCCGCCUGGGGAGUACGACCGCAAGGUUG
rnacentral:rRNA from 1 species